GAGGUUCAGAUUCUCGUACAUUAUCAUCUUCAUGCAAAUGAGGUUCAAGUUCUCUUACAAUAUCGGGCUGAUUAUCUUCAUCUUCAUUAUUGUUACUGCCCUCAUCAAGCCAUUCUUCAUUAGCCUCAUUCUCAUCUGAUUUAAAAUCUCGAUUAUCAUAAUUUAUUCCAAUGCUGAUCCAAUCAUCGUUCUCUAUUUGAGUAUCAUAUCCCACACUUACUGCUACUCCCAGCAU
rnacentral:lncRNA from 1 species